rnacentral:rRNA from 1 species
UACAGAGGGUGCUAGCGUUGUUCGGAAUCAUUGGGCGUAAAGGGCGUGUAGGCGGUUUGUUAAGUCAUGUGUGAAAUCCCUCGGCUCAACCGGGGAACGACGCAUGAAACUGGCAGCUAGAGUACCAAAGAGGGGGGUGGAAUUCCCGGUGUAGCGGUGAAAUGCGUAGAAUAUCGGGAGGAACACCUGUGGCGAAGGCGGCCCCCUGGUUGGAUACUGACGCUGAGACGCGAAAGCGUCGGGGAG